GUUGUCGUGGCCGAGUGGUUAAGGCGAUGGAUUAGAAAUCCAUUGGGGUUACCCCGCGUAGGUUCAAAUCCUGCCGACAGCG